UGGGGAAUAUUGGACAAUGGGCGCAAGCCUGAUCCAGCCAUGCCGCGUGGAUGAAGAAGGCCCUAGGGUUGUAAAGUCCUUUCGGUGGUGAAGAUAAUGACGGUAACCACAGAAGAAGCCCCGGCUAAUUUCGUGCCAGCAGCCGCGGUAAUACGAAGGGAGCUAGCGUUGUUCGGAAUCACUGGACGUAAAGCGCACGUAGGUGGGCAGUUAAGUCAGGGGUGAAAGCCCGAGGCUCAACCUCGGAAUUGCCUCUGAUACUGGCUGUCUAGAGUUCGAGAGAGGUGAGUGGAAUUCCUAGUGUAGAGGUGAAAUUCGUAGAUAUUAGGAAGAACACCGGUGGCGAAGGCGGCUCACUGGCUCGAUACUGACACUGAGGUGCGAAAGCGUGGGGAGCAAACAGGAUUAGAUACCCAGGUAGUCCCUGAGCGGGCUGGCAAGGCGCAU
rnacentral:rRNA from 1 species